AUGUGCCCGCGGACACUCCGGUUCCUCCGCGUCGUCCGCACCAACCUGACGAUUAACCAUUCCGCUGUGUUCGCG
rnacentral:sRNA from 1 species